rnacentral:misc_RNA from 1 species
CAACUUCCACCUGGCUUACCUCCUCAGUUAUGCGUCAAGGCUUGUAUCGCCUAGAGCGUAUUGUUGGUUUUCUGUAUUGGAUACCUAAUCGAAGGUAUUAUUUUGAUCGAUUGGAGUCCCUUUUCGUCUUGUGUUGCAUUUUGUGUCGCAUGAUGAACUUUGAAGCGGUCUCUAUGAUCCAUCACGUUGAUGCACUUGCAUUGAUGUUGUGGCCCAUUGAGCUUUGUUUGGUUUCUUGGAUAUGGAACAUGAAGUGGGCAUGGGGCUGUCAUGAUCCUCUUUUUGCCCUCGUAUGGUGUUCUCGAACGACGGGUCAUGCGCGCCUAGGCUCGUACCUGCGUGAUGAU